rnacentral:ribozyme from 13 species
AAGAAAGGAAAGAAAGAGAAGAGAAAGAAGAGAAAGAAGAGAAAGAAAGGGAAGAAGAAGAAGAGGGGUUUUUGUUCUGUUCUGAAUAAGAGUGUCUCUCUUCUUCUUCUCUCUUUUCUGAUUUUU